GGAUCAAUAUAUCGGUCGUGCCUUGGUACGUACUGGUAUCAUUGGUUUCUCCUUUCUGACGAACCAUGAUGUCAUUAAUUUGGUGUUAUGGGAAGUUAGGACUGUUACUUUGAAAAAUUAGAGUGUUUAAAGCAGGCUUUAGCUUGAAUACAUUAGCAUGGAAUAAUGAAAUAGGACGUUCGAACCUAUUUUGUUGGUUUCUAGGAUCAACGUAAUGAUUAAUAG
rnacentral:rRNA from 1 species